CAGCGAUCCCCGCACACUAACACUAUCCUACACACACUAGGGACAAUUGUUUUACAAUUGCAACAAGCCAAUUAACCUACAGAGCUGUAUGUCUUGGGAAUGUGGGAGGAAACCGAAGAUCUCUGGAGAAAACCCACGCAGGACAUGG